rnacentral:rRNA from 1 species
GAUGAACGCUAGCGGCAGGCCUAACACAUGCAAGUCGAGGGGCAGCGGGGUGUAGCAAUACACUGCCGGCGACCGGCGCACGGGUGCGUAACGCGUAUCCAAUCUACCCAUGGCUCAGGGAUAGCCUUUCGAAAGAAAGAUUAAUACCUGAUGGUUUCGCUUUUCCGCAUGGUUUGGCGAAUAAAGAUUUAUCGGCGAUGGAUGAGGAUGCGACUGAUUAGCUAGUUGGCGGGGUAACGGCCCACCAAGGCGACGAUCAGUAGGGGUUCUGAGAGGAAGGUCCCCCACAUUGGAACUGAGACACGGUCCAAACUCC